UACGAAGGGUGCAAACGUUGCUCGGAAUCAUUGGGCGUAAAGCGCACGUAGGCGGCUUUCUAAGUCGGAUGUGAAAUCCCUCGGCUCAACCGAGGACGUGCAUCCGAAACUGGAGAGCUCGAGUAUGGAAGAGGGUCGCGGAAUUCUCGGUGUAGAGGUGAAAUUCGUAGAUAUCGGGAGGAACACCAGUGGCGAAGGCGGCGACCUGGGCCAAUACUGACGCUGAGGUGCGAAAGCGUGGGGAGCAAACAGG
rnacentral:rRNA from 1 species